GUAAGAUAAUACCUCAAAAUGAAAUUCUAAACCUAUCAUAAAUUCCUUCCCUAAAAUCAUGCAUAACAACCAUAUAAAAUGCUAUACAUAUUUAAAACAAGUGUAAAUACCCCCAAUUACCCCUUUGAAAAUUACCGAAAUUAG